GUAAAUUUUCGUUUGUUCGUAUUCUGAAAUUGGAAUGAUGCAGAGAAGAUUAGCAUGGUCCCUGCACAAGGAUGACUUGCAAAUUUGUGAAGCAUUCCAUGUUUUU